rnacentral:lncRNA from 1 species
AUCUCGGGCAAGUAACAUACCGAAGGACAAAGGGAAUGACAUACGGGAUUAUACGAAUCCUUGGCACUGAGGUUGAAACGAUAAAGAUCUUCGUAGAAUAUGUAGGAUCCAAUAUGGGCAUCCAGGUCCCGCUAUUGGAUAUUGACCGAGGAGUCUCUCGGGUCAUGUCUACAUAGUUCUCGAACCCGCAGGGUCUGCACACUUAAGGUUCGACGUUGUUUUAUGC